AGUGAACGCUGGCGGUAGGCCUAACACAUGCAAGUCGAACGGCAGCACAGGAGAGCUUGCUCUCUGGGUGGCGAGUGGCGGACGGGUGAGGAAUACAUCGGAAUCUACUUUUUCGUGGGGGAUAACGUAGGGAAACUUACGCUAAUACCGCAUACGACCUACGGGUGAAAGCAGGGGAUCUUCGGACCUUGCGCGAUUGAAUGAGCCGAUGUCGGAUUAGCUAGUUGGCGGGGUAAAGGCCCACCAAGGCGACGAUCCGUAGCUGGUCUGAGAGGAUGAUCAGCCACGCUGGAACUGAAACACGGUCCAGACUCCUACGGAAGGCAGCAGUGGGGAAUAUUGGACAAUGGGCGCAAGCCUGAUCCAGCCAUACCGCGUGGGUGAAGAAGGCCGUCGGGUUGUAAAGCCCUUUUGUUGGGAAAGAAAUCCAGCUGGUUAAUACCCGGUUGGGAUGACGGUACCCAAAGAAUAAGCACCGGCUAACUUCGUGCCAGCAGCCGCCGUAA
rnacentral:rRNA from 1 species